rnacentral:rRNA from 1 species
AUUGAACGCUGGCGGCAUGCCUUACACAUGCAAGUCGAACGGCAGCACGGGUGCUUGCACCUGGUGGCGAGUGGCGAACGGGUGAGUAAUAUAUCGGAACGUACCUUAUUGUGGGGGAUAACGCAGCGAAAGCUGUGCUAAUACCGCAUAAUCCCUAAGGGGGAAAGCGGGGGACCGUAAGGCCUCGCGCAAUUAGAGCGGCCGAUACCUGAUUAGCUAGUUGGUGAGGUAAAGGCUCACCAAGGCAACGAUCAGUAGCUGGUCUGAGAGGACGAUCAACCUCACUGGGGCUGAGACACGGCCCAGACUCCUACGGGAGGCAGCAGUGGGGAAUUUUGGACAAUGGGGGCAACCCUGAUCCAGCAAUGCCGCGUGAGUGAAGAAGGCCUUCGGGUUGUAAAGCUCUUUUGUCAGGGAAGAAACAGCAGCUCUAACACAGUUUGCGAAUGACGGUACCUGAAGAAUAAGCACCGGCUAACUACGUGCCAGCCGCCGCGGUAA